GAUGAACGCUGGCGGCGUGCUUAACACAUGCAAGUCGAGCGGUAAGGCCCUUUCGGGGGUACGACGAGCGGCGAACGGGUGAGUAACACGUGGGUGACCUGCCCUCAGCUCUGGGAUAAGCCUGGGAAACCGGGUCUAAUACCGGAUAUGACUCCAUGACGCAUGUUGUGGGGUGGAAAGCCUUGUGCGGCUGAGGAUGGGCCCGCGGCCUAUCAGCUUGUUGGUGGGGUGANGGCCUACCAAGGCGACGACGGGUAGCCGGCCUGAGAGGGCGACCGGCCACACUGGGACUGAGACACGGCCCAGACUCCUACGGGAGGCAGCAGUGGGGAAUCUUGCGCAAUGGGCGAAAGCCUGACGCAGCGACGCCGCGUGAGGGAUGACGGCCU
rnacentral:rRNA from 1 species